AUUUAUGGAGUUGUAGAUGCUACGAAGAAUGUGGCAAUAUGCUAAUCUGAGCCUUCAGUAUAUUUCCAGUAUAUGUAUGCAUCUAGUUGAAACAACUAAUUGUUCGAAAAAUGUUUCUUCUGAAUUAUGAUGAAUUUUUUAAAUACCUUGUAGUCUCAUUCUUAUUCUUCCAAGCAAGGCAAAAAGAUUGAAUUGACUUGCAAAAUUAUGAAUGUUUGGUGAAGGUGGCUGACUUAAAAGUUGAAUUUGAUACUUAACUUUCUGUUCACUGACAAUAUCUGAUCUGCGCUUGUAAAUAAAUCAUAUUUUAUGAUUUAAUCAUUUUUAAUUUUUUAUAUAUAAUUCCUAUAUCUUUUUCUAUUAUUUUGUAUUUUCUCUGUUGUCAUUUGAUAAUAUAUUUUCUAAUUUAUAUCUUCCUACUAUAAGCUAUAUCAAAUAUGAACGCAACGUGUAUCUUGCAUUUUUUUUGCUGUCUUGUGGCUUGAUGUUUAGAAAUGAUCAUAGGAAAUUGUUUGUACUCACUUCGUGUUUAUCAGUAUAUGAAUAGUAGUAGUCAAAACAUUCUUCUUGUUGAACUUUGUUUAUUUUUAAAAGUUUUCAUGUAACUUUAGCAUGAUCCAACAUAAUAAUCUUAUUUACCCAUUUUUCUGUGCUUUAGUUUUACGUACUGUUUAUUUAUGUGUUGAAUGAAGUGCAUAGAUUCUACAAAAUUAAACUCUGUAUGGAAUGUCUGGAUGCAGAUUGGUUUAGAACAUUGGCAAGAGCUGCUAUAACUUUUUGUGCUCUCGUGGUUGUGAUCUAAGGUUGUUGGUUCCAGGAAGAAUGUGCCAGUAUGCUGAUACACUGUUGUGAAAAGGAAAUAUGUAGUUUGUUUGUGCAUGUGAAUAGAUCUUUCUUAUGUCUGUAUUUCUUAGUGAAAAGCUAGUGUGCAUAGGUAUGAAUAUUCAAACGGCAUGGUUCAAAAAUAUGUCUGUGGCCUGCAUUCAUGCUUAGGGCAUUCACUUAUGUUUAUUUGGAUGUGUGUAAUAUUUUUUACCUGUUUGUGGUCCAAUGGGAACUCGAAGGAGAAGGUAUUCAGAUGUGUGAUUAAAAGUGCCUGUUUACUUUUAAUAUUCCCUUUGGUUGUGGGGAUGUGUUUACAGCAAAGGAAGUUUGGAUAUGCCGUGAUGCCAGAAGGAAAAGUUGGACAUACUGAUGAAGCUCUACCCCUUUGAAACCAGAACCAGCCUUCGAAAAGUGGUAGCAAGAUAAUGAAAAAUAGACAUCCUCAUGUCUGCAAAACUGGGAUAAGGAACAAGAGGCUGCUUAAUUAGCAGCAAGGCAGAGGCACUCUUUUUGGGUAAGCAGGAAGUUGGAUCCUAGAAUUGGUCUUUUUAUGAUUGACUAUGUUGUUAGAUCUUAAACCUGGUUUUGGUCUUGUACAGGACACCAAUAUUUUACAUGGUUUCUUUUCUCAAUCUUGAAAUUGUCUUUUCUUUUAGUUUAUGCUGUUAUCUUCUCAUUUUAUUUUAAUAAAAGCCUCUGUUUAUUUCUA
rnacentral:lncRNA from 1 species